rnacentral:rRNA from 1 species
UACGUAGGGGGCAAGCGUUGUCCGGAAUCAUUGGGCGUAAAGAGCGUGUAGGCGGCCCGAUAAGUCCGCCGUGAAAGUCCAGGGCUCAACCCUGGAAUGCCGGUGGAAACUGUCGGGCUGGAGUCCGGAAGAGGCGAGUGGAAUUCCUGGUGUAGCGGUGAAAUGCGCAGAUAUCAGGAGGAACACCAAUGGCGAAGGCAGCUCGCUGGAACGGUACUGACGCUCAGGCGCGAAAGCUAGGGGAGCAAACAGG